GACAGAGGCCUCAAGCGUUAGGCGGAAUCACUGGGCUUAAAGCGUGUGUAGGCGGAUCGUUAAGUGUCUUGUGAAAUCCCACGGCUCACCCGUGGAACUGCUGGGCAUACUGGCGAUCUUGGGCCAACUAGGGGCAACUGGAACAAGCGGUGGAGCGGUGAAAUGCGUAGAUAUCGCUUGGAACGCCAAAGGGUGAAAACAGGUUGCUGGGGUUGUGCCGA
rnacentral:rRNA from 1 species